rnacentral:tRNA from 1 species
AGUGAGAUAGGAUAAAUUAGUCUAAUGGGCUCAUACCCUGUAGGUGGUCUACGACCUCUCAUUA